rnacentral:rRNA from 1 species
GGAGGAAAGCAGGGGAUCGCAAGACCUUGCGCUCUUGGAGCGGCCGAUGCCUGAUUAGCUAGUUGGUGGGGUAAAGGCUUACCAAGGCGACGAUCAGUAGCUGGUCUGAGAGGACGACCAGCCACACUGGGACUGAGACACGGCCCAGACUCCUACGGGAGGCAGCAGUGGGGAAUUUUGGACAAUGGGGGAAACCCUGAUCCAGCCAUGCCGCGUGAGUGAAGAAGGCCUUCGGGUUGUAAAGCUCUUUCAGCCGGAACGAAACGGUCACGGCUAAUACCCGUGACUACUGACGGUACCGGAAGAAGAAGCACCGGCUAACUACGUGCCAGCAGCCGCGGUAAUACGUAGGGUGCAAGCGUUAAUCGGAAUUACUGGGCGUAAAGCGUGCGCAGGCGGUUUUGUAAGUCAGAUGUGAAAUCCCCGGGCUUAACCUGGGAACUGCGUUUGAAACUACAAAGCUAG